CAGACACCUCCUAUGCAGUCAACUUCACAUUAAGCAUCAGUAACAUCAGCAUGUCUAAGAACCCUGACCUCAGGAACGACACCUACACCCAAGUGGAGAACAUCAUCAAUAAUGCUCUAAACACGCUUCUAAAUGAUGCUGGUGCAGAGCCAUUCGAACCCCAGAGCUCUUUCUUCGCGUAAGUUCACAGCAGUAUUAUUUCCCCUCCCAAAAUACCUUUUGGUAAUUCUUAUUGUAAAGUGAAUUGUGUUAUGAUGUUUGUGAUUUCUUCUAGUGGUAACAGGAGUUCAGGAAACCAGGUUAAUGGUGAUAUGAAGUACUUCUUCCAAGAUGGAGACACCAAAACACCAGCAGCCUUCCUGGAUGAGCUUAAACCUGUAUCUGGUUCAGCUGUGGUUCAGACCAGGAUGGUCUUCAAUUCCUCCUCUCCUAUUCCCAGUGAGAGUUUGGUCCUCAGUGCGAUCCAGACUCUUCUCAGUGCUCGACUCACGAACCUCUCUGACUCUGUAAAAGUGCUGAACUUCA